rnacentral:rRNA from 1 species
CCUACGGGAGGCAGCAGUGGGAAAUAUUGCGCAAUGGGCGAAAGCCUGACGCAGCGACGCCGCGUGAGGGAUGAAGGUCUUCGGAUCGUAAACCUCUGUCAGCAGGGAAGAACGGUCACUGUGCUAAUCAGCAGUGAAUUGACGGUACCUGCAAAGGAAGCACCGGCUAACUCCGUGCCAGCAGCCCCGGUAAUACGGAGGGUGCGGGCGGUAAUCGGAAUUACUGGGCGUAAAGCGCUCGUAGGCGGUAUGUCAAGUCAAGGGUGAAAUCCCCGCGCUCAACGUGGGAACUGCCUUUGAAACUGGCAAACUUGAGUGUGUGAGAGGAUAGUGGAAUGCCAGGUGUAGGAGUGAAAUCCGUAGAUAUCUGGAGGAACAUCAGUGGCGAAGGCGACUAUCUGGCACAUAACUGACGCUGAAGCACGAAAGCGUGGGUAUCGAACAGGAUUAGAUACCCCUGUAGUC